GUCCAAUACUAAAAUUUUGACUUAAUGGGUGAAAUUUAUGAAUUUUCAAAAAACUCAAAAUUAGGUUCUUUGAAGCCUUAUCAAACAUUACUGAGACUUUUAUUGUAAAAAAACCAUACUAAGUUAGGGAAAAAUGACAAAAUACCAAGGGCUUUGAAUAUUUCCGCCAUAGCAACGCGCUUAGCAACCAAAGUUUGCUGUUUGAAAUCGAGGUAAAAAUUCUUUAUAAAAUAGUGAUGUACAAUUUUAGGCUACUAACAUGAAGUAUUAGCUGCACUAUAGCCUUCCCUUACCGCUUGACAACCUUCUCUUCUCAUCGUGGGCUUCUUUAUCAUUCUCAAAAAUAUCACAACAAGCGAUUUUCUCUGUCUUUCUUUGUGAUUUAUUACAUCAAAUUUUUGCUUAUUUCCGAAUAAUCUGCAAUUGUUUCACUGUUAUUAUGGCAAGAGAGAAUUCAAGGGCAAAAUAAACGGCGAUUUAGUGGAAAUAGAUUUGUUAAAAAUGCAAUGAAAUCGUGUACAAAUGGACCCACCAAAAUUGUGCUAACAGUAAAUAUGACGCCGAUGCUCAAUCAACUUCCAGUGCAAGUGUUUCAGCUUCAUCGCGAAAAAUCAACGUUAUAGAAUCGCCAAAUGCCACUAAAGAAUCGCUACAUGCAACAGGCUAUCGUUUCAUUGAUAUAGAAAUUCUCAGUGAAGUUUUUCAGCAAGUAGUUUGCAAAGAAUGUGGUGAAUCCUCAUCCCUUGUGCUUGAAGAUAAAAAAUUCGAACGUAAGGGUUGUGCAUUUCAUCUCCGUUUGCGAUGCGAGGAAUGUGGUUGGGAUUUUUCGUUUUAUUCUUCAAAUAAGGUAAAGAAAUCCUUUGAAUAAAAGGCUUGUUUAUGUCAUGCGAUCCAUUGGUAUUAUUUGGUAAAGGACAUGCCUCCAUGAAAAGAUUCUGUACUCACAUGAACAUGCCAUCACCAGCAUACCGAGAUUGUAAUAUAUAGCCCUAUCAAAAGCUGCUAACUCUGUUGCUACCAAGUUUAUGAAUGAUGCAGCUGUUGAGGUUCAUGGUGAAAAUCCUGGUCAAAUAACCCAAUGUGGUGUCUCGUGAUGAUACCUGGCAAAGACGAGGAUAUUCAUCGCUCCAUGGGUGUGUCACAACCUUAUCCAUUGACGGACACCUUGAUUGACAAACUUCAAAACUAUUAUGGCAUUGCCAUUAGAAGUAAUUGUGGAAAUUUGGAGUGAAUGAAGGCUGCAAUUUAUGCCAGCAUUAUCCAUUGUGUCUCAUCAAAGAAGCGAAAUUUACAUACUUGGUGUCUUGAUGGUCCGGACAGCUGGUGCCGCUUUAAUUUAAACAAGACAAGGCAAAUAGUACUGACUUAUAUAAGUGUGGACAUGGUCUUCCAGACAACAUCAUUGCUCAGAUUAGGCCCAUUUAUGAUAGACUAAGUAGUAAUGAUUUGUUGGUCAAAUGUUUCGAUGGGAAAACUCAAAACCAAAACGAAUCGUUGAACGGCAUGAUUUGGAACAGGCUUCCGAAGAGAAUUUUUGUGGGUGGCAAUGUUCUGCAGUUGAGUGUGUAUGAUGCUGUUGCUCAUUUCAACAUGGGUUCAAGGGCUUCUGUUGAUAUCUUACAAGAUGGGCUAGUUCUUGGCUACUACUUUGAAGAGGUUGUCAGCAAAGCUGAUAAAAAGCAUGUAAAGAAAGAAGAUCAUCGAGCUAAGCCGGAUGUCAAAAAAGAGGAGGAAGGUGGUGUAUGGCCAGAAAAAGAAGAGGGAAGAUAAAAAUCAGGAAACAGAAGUCAAUACCUAUGAGGCAGGGACCUUUUAACACUAAACUGGUCCAUUCAUAACGUUUAUUAAUCAAUUGUAGGUCAAUAUUGUUCUGAAAAUCAAUAUGUUCAACUUUAAAGCAGUUUUUCUCAAAUUGCCGAAAUCCGCCAAUGGCCGUUAUUGCAUGCGCAAUAUCUCAAAAAGUAUUUAAGCUAUUGACUUCAAACUUUCAGUGUAGCUUCUGUAUUGCAUUCUCUUGGGGAUGAACUAGAAUCAUAAAAAUAUAUGCAAUAGCAUUAAAGUUGUGAUAGUCAGUAUCAUGCCGAUAAUAUGUAUUUUCAAUAUUUUGUCCGCAAAAAAUUUAUUUUUGCUUCGAUCACCAUAGUUCUAGUUCAUCCCCAAGAGUAUGUGGUAUACUAUUAAAUAAAAGUUAUUUUAGGUUUUUAUCAUUCAUAUUUCUUGAGAUAUCAUGUUUACAAAUAUGUUGAUUUUUCACCACCGGGGGGUAAUUAACAUGGUAACCAUGGCAACGGUAACUUUGAAAAACAUUUUUUUAUGUUAGUGGUACCAUGCCCUAAAAACUGACCAAAGAUGAACAUCAUAGCAUUAAAACACACAAAAAAAAGUUUUUGAGUAUUGGACCCCCUUAA
rnacentral:lncRNA from 1 species